UUGUCUUUUUCUUAGUGAUUUGUGCAGAUUCACUGUAAGUUCUGGACACUUCUUGUAUGGUUAAUCACUGAGCUUGCUCUGGAUCUGUGAGAACAGCCACUCCCAAGGGUGGGCCAUAAACCCUGAGGCAACUCAGGAAAGAAACAAGAAGACUGUCCCCCAGCUGAGAUGCACAUCAAAGGAGUGAUUCCAGAAAGCCCAGACCUUCACAUCUUUCCAAGGAAACUGGUGUCCUGCCUCCAGAGGUCCUGACUCUACUGCGUUUCCGUUGUUCCUUGAGUGGUCCAGCUACCUUAUCCGACAACGAACCUCCUGGCUACUCUGCACGGUGGCCUUAGGCUGGCACAUCACUGAUCUCUGGGUGUGGCUCUCCUUGUACCUGUGUGAGCUGGUGGGAAUGAGCUGGGGAGAACGCAAAUGUGUUCAGAUAUGCUGGACCACUUGGUGUAGCUGCAGAAAAAGCAACACCGAAACCACUGCAAGGAAAGAUGCUUAGCAGGCACCUGUGGCCGAACAAACAGAGUCUGUUCCCUCCCCAGGAGGCUGCUGCUGUGAUAAAGUGUCUCUUUAUCCAGGUCAGUACAAAAUUUAAUCCUCAUUGAUCUCUUCAUGACAGCCUUGAGGGGAAGGCGAUGGUUCCUGCUGCUUCUGCUCUCACAGGACACGACUCUCCAUCUUUAUGGUUGGGAUUAUAAAUGGAGCCAUCAAUCUGAGCAUGAACGCUUGGCAAAGCUCUCAGCGGUUACACACUUAGCAAGCUCUGAGAACUAGAAACAGUGUGAUGGAAACGCCAAAAAUGGCACUCCAUUUCCCCUUCAACGCUCUUGUCAUUGUAUUAGCCAAUUAAAAUGCAAUUCCUGGCUGAAAGCGUGGUGCUUGUCAUCACCUUUCAAAUUUUAAUCUAUUUCACAGAAAAUAUUCCUUAAAGUACCUUAAUGAAUUUCAUUAUAUGAAUUUUUUUUAGGUCAAGCUGUGCUGCAGAGGGAGAAAUAAUACUGCAUACCCUUCAGGCGAUGAGGACAAAAUCAUUGCCCAUGUUUUCAUUUUCUGAGGGCACUUUGCUCUAUUGUUUUGUUAUUAUUCGGGGUCAGAAAAAUUAUCCUUACUUACAAUUUAAGGCAACUUCUGUGUUUCUUUAGAAACAUCAGGAUGAAUUCAAAACUACUUAAAUGUAGUUUUCUAACUAGUUUCUAGUUUGUUCAAUUCAGCCAUCAAACAGUCAAAAGAGAUUAUAAUUUUUAAUUAAGGGGUCAUACAGUCUUCUGUUUAAAGAAUAACUUUGGUCAUAUGAACUUUAUAACUGUAACUGCUGAUUAGUAUUUCCUGGUUUAUUUAUUAAUGCUAUUAUAAAUGGUUACCC